GACGAACGCUGGCGGCGUGCUUAACACAUGCAAGUCGAGCGGAAAGGCCCUUUCGGGGGUACUCGAGCGGCGCACGGGUGAGUAACACGUGAGUAAUCUGCCCUUCACUUGGGGAUAACCUCCGGAAACGGUGGCUAAUACCCGAUACGACCAUUCCUCGCAUGAGGUGGUGGUGGAAAGUUUUUCGGUGGGGGAUGUGCUCGCGGCCUAUCAGCUUGUUGGUGGGGUAAUGGCCUACCAAGGCUUCGACGGGUAGCCGGCCUGAGAGGGUGACCGGCCACACUGGGACUGAGACACGGCCCAGACUCCUACGGGAGGCAGCAGUGGGGAAUAUUGGACAAUGGGCGGAAGCCUGAUCCAGCAACGCCGCGUGAGGGAUGACGGCCUUCGGGUUGUAAACCUCUUUCACCUGUGACGAAGCGAAAGUGACGGUAGCAGGAGAAGAAGCACCGGCCAACUACGUG
rnacentral:rRNA from 1 species